UGCACUUAAAAAAAAUAUUUUAAAAAAAAUCGAUAAAAUAUAAUGAUCAAUAUACCUUUGAAGAUUUCAGGGGUAUUUUGGUUAUUUUAUUUUAUUGAUAAUAUUUUUUUAACAUUUUUUAUAAGUGCGAGUUUAAGAGAUGAGUGGAUACCCUAAAUUUGGUGUCAAAAUAAUUUAUAUAAAAAAAUGUAAAAUAAAAUAAUAUAGAGAGUUGACAUUGUAAUUGAGACCAUCUUAGUUGUCAGAAUGGAAAAGGGUAAACAUAAAAGGUUUAUGUUAUACGAAAGCUUGCCCCUUCUUUUUAAUAUGGUUCCACUUACAUGUUCAUGAGGAAAGAACCGUGCACAGGAAUGUAAAGGGAUGAGAGAGAGAGAGAGUGAGGAGGGGGGGGGAUUUUGUUAAGAGAGAGAUAGAGAGAGGGAAUUUUGAUAUCACUAAUGCUCAAAAG
rnacentral:lncRNA from 1 species